GAGACUCAUAAUCAGAUUAAUCUCACGUUUUUAAUCUUUAGUCUCACAUUGAUGAGGCAAAAAGCCCGUGUGGGGAACGAACUAGAAGCGUCGUGUAAUGGUCUUAAUAGAUAUUAAUGUGAACCGCAGCGCUCAAAAAACUUCAUAAAAAUAAUGUCAAGGACGAAACAAGAACAGGAAACCUAAUAACACGAAGGACACGUGGGUCAGAUCGGUCUACGCUACGCCAGGGAUCGGGCGAAGAACACGUUGGUCCUCAGCCAAGGUUCAGAAUUAACCCAAUCACUACCAGCACCACAAAGAUCAAGGGCAGUACAACAGCGAGGACGAUGAUACUUGAGGAAGAAUCUACAAAAAG